rnacentral:misc_RNA from 1 species
UCCGGCUUAUCACCGGCAGUCGCCUUAGAGUGCCCGGCCUAACCGAUGGCAACUGAAGAUGGGGGUUGCGCUCGUUGCGGGACUUAACCCAACAUCUCACGACACGAGCUGACGACAGCCAUGCAGCACCUGUGUCUAAGUUCCCUUUCGGGCACACUCACAUCUCUGCGAGCUUCCUAGCAUGUCAAGGGUAGGUAAGGUUUUUCGCGUUGCAUCGAAUUAAUCCACAUAAUCCACCGCUUGUGCGGGUCCCCGUCAAUUCCUUUGAGUUUUAACCUUGCGGCCGUACUCCCCAGGCGGUCAACUUCACGCGUUAGCUUCGUUACCAAGGAAUUGCUUCCCCGACAACCAGUUGACAUCGUUUAGGGCGUGGACUAC